AAUGAGAGUUAGGAUGAGAUUGAGAGAGGGGAUGAAAGGAAGGAGUAACAAAAGUGAAAACAAUUUUAAAUAGAUUUCAACUUUUUAUUUUUGUUUUCACUUUUGUUACCCCUCCCUUCCAUCCUCUCCUCUCACGGUCACCUUCCUUCUCAAUCU
rnacentral:miRNA from 1 species